rnacentral:rRNA from 1 species
ACUCCUACGGGAGGCAGCAGUGGGGAAUCUUGGACAAUGGGCGCAAGCCUGAUCCAGCCAUGCCGCGUGAGUGAUGAAGGCCUUAGGGUCGUAAAGCUCUUUCGCCAGGGAUGAUAAUGACAGUACCUGGUAAAGAAACCCCGGCUAACUCCGUGCCAGCAGCCGCGGUAAUACGGAGGGGUUAGCGUUGUUCGGAAUUACUGGGCGUAAAGCGCGCGUAGGCGGAUCGGAAAGUUGGGGUGAAUCCCGGGCUCAACCCGGAACUGCCUCCAAAACUAUCGGUCUAGAGUUCGAGAGAGGUGAGUGGAAUUCCGAGUGUAGAGGUGAAAUUCGUAGAUAUUCGGAGGAACACCAGUGGCGAAGGCGGCUCACUGGCUCGAUACUGACGCUGAGGUGCGAAAGUGUGGGAGCAAACAGGAUUAGAUACCCUGGUAGGAUAGCG